GAGGAAUAUUGGUCAAUGGACGGAAGUCUGAGCCAGCCAAGUAGCGUGCAGGAUGACGGCCCUAUGGGUUGUAAACUGCUUUUGUAUGGGGAUAAAGUUAGGGACGUGUCCCUAUUUGCAGGUAUCAUACGAAUAAGGACCGGCUAAUUCCGUGCCAGCAGCCGCGGUAAUACGGAAGGUCCAGGCGUUAUCCGGAUUUAUUGGGUUUAAAGGGAGCGUAGGCUGGAGAUUAAGUGUGUUGUGAAAUGUAGACGCUCAACGUCUGAAUUGCAGCGCAUACUGGUUUCCUUGAGUACGCACAACGUUGGCGGAAUUCGUCGUGUAGCGGUGAAAUGCUUAGAUAUGACGAAGAACUCCGAUUGCGAAGGCAGCUGACGGGAGCGCAACUGACGCUUAAGCUCGAAGGUGCGGGUAUCAAACAGGAUUAGAUACCCUGGUAGUCCGCACAGUAAACGAUGGAUGCCCGCUGUUGGUACCUGGUAUCAGCGGCUAAGCGAAAGCAUUAAGCAUCCCACCUGGGGAGUACGCCGGCAACGGUG
rnacentral:rRNA from 1 species